UGGGGAGUCUGCACCAUGGCCUGGACCCCACUCCUCCUCCUCUUCCCUCUCCUCCUCCACUGCACAGGGUCUCUCUCCCAGCCUGUGCUGACUCAAUCAUCCUCUGCCUCUGCUUCCCUGGGAUCCUCGGUCAAGCUCACCUGCACUCUGAGCAGUGGGCACAGUAGCUACAUCAUCGCAUGGCAUCAGCAGCAGCCAGGGAAGGCCCCUCGGUACUUGAUGAAGCUUGAAGGUAGUGGAAGCUACAACAAGGGGAGCGGAGUUCCUGAUCGCUUCUCAGGCUCCAGCUCUGGGGCUGACCGCUACCUCACCAUCAACAACCUCCAGUCUGAGGAUGAGGCUGAUU
rnacentral:lncRNA from 1 species